GCGCUCGGCCUGGGGCGGCGGCGCGGCGGGGGCGGUAGGGGCGGCCGUGAGGGGGGGGAGGCGGGGGCGGCGGGGGCAGAGGAGGAGGAGGAGGAGCGGGGGAGGACCGACGGGAGGAGGGCCCGCCGCUGGCCAACUCUGCCGGCUGGCGAGGCCACCCUGGGCUGGCUCUGGCCCCGCCGGCUGCAGGAGCGCGUCGCGGGGCCGCCCGCCUAUUCCAUGGUCCGCGCACUAGGGACCGGGGCUGGGGCUGGGGCCUGGCCGGAGCGCGCAGGGAGCAUCGAGGGAGCUAGAAGCAUGAGCUAGUGCAGCUCCCCGCAGCCUGCAGCAGAGAGGAUGGUCCGGCCAGGGUCGGCGGCAGAGGGUCGCGCGGGCGGGGGCAAUGCCUGGGACACAGGCCGGCCCUGGCAGGCACGGCGGGGAGGGGGCCCGCGGGGAGGAGACUGGGCUGGGGAGGGAGCCCUGUGUGCAGUCCUUCAACUCUUCCGUGCCAGGGGAAGGGGGACGGAGCAGGGGGGCCCCCUCUCGGGAAGCACACACGCUGCCUCCCAGAGGCCGGUCUUCUUCAGGAAGGAUUCGCUGGAAACUUUCGGAAAAACCGAGGGGUUCUUCAGUACCUCUCUAUUUGCUGCCUGGAGUCAGCGCGCCGCGAGUGCUCUUGGCUGCCGGCGCCUAGCCGCUGGCCUCGCCUCCUCUCGCGGGCCUCCAGGGUUUCCCUCUGCCCCCUUGCGGGGAUCCCCCUGUGCGCCCUGUUCGCGAUUUGGAAUAGGCCUCCCCACAAGCUAUUGGUUCCGCAAGGGUGUCCGGGCUCCCCCCUCUGGCCUGGGUUCACACUUCGCUUUCUGUUCCUGCUGGACCAAGCCCAACACUGUGGCUGAUGGAAGUGGGGACAGCUGGCACUGUCCCUGGAGAAGCGGUCUGAAGAGGCUCCUGGACUUCUGCAGAAAGUAUCCAUUUGGAGAGGACCCCUGGCCAUGGCAGGCACAGCCUACUCUUCCGCGUUGGACUUUCCUGGACUCUUCCCAGAUGCUCCCUGGGGCUCCUGGCUGGGCUGUGGAGGAGAUGCCAUUGUGGUGGGGCUGA
rnacentral:lncRNA from 1 species